AACGAGGCCGACCUGCGGCUGAGUUACCUGCGGAAGGAUCAUUACCGAGUUUACAACUCCCAAACCCCUGUGAACAUACCACUUGUUGCCUCGGCGGAUCAGCCCGCUCCCGGUAAAACGGGACGGCCCGCCAGAGGACCCCUAAACUCUGUUUCUAUAUGUAACUUCUGAGUAAAACCAUAAAUAAAUCAAAACUUUUAACAACGGAUCU
rnacentral:misc_RNA from 1 species